UCAACUUUUCAGCGCGCUCGAAGCGCGACUUUGCAGGCCCGGGAAGCGGGGAAGGCCGUGCGAAUCGGCCGCGGUCCCGCCACUGUGAUCGGCUGUAGAAGCCGUAAGCCAGGCUACCCUCCCGUGCCGCCGGCGGAAA
rfam:Acidobacteria bacterium 13_1_40CM_4_61_5 13_1_40cm_4_scaffold_10639, whole genome shotgun sequence.